rnacentral:tRNA from 1 species
GCCCAGCUGGCUCAGUUGGUGGAGCAUGUGACUGCUAAUCUCAAGGUCAUGAGUUCAAGCCCCACGUUGGGUG